CACAGAGAUCCCACUGUCAGUAGUGAUGUGAAGAUGGUCCGCGGUGGCAGCGGCCGAUUCGUCGCGGCGACCGUCGCUCUACUUGAAAAACAGCAGACGAAGCAGCAGACUUCGGAUAACAACAACAAAGAUAGUGUAGAAUCGAGCAUGGACGAUUCAACGCUAAAAUGUAACAGCUCGACGGACUCUGGGAAGGACGACCAAUCCCUGAUUACAAGCACUUCUUCGACAUCUUCGAACUCGAAUGAAGAUUUGGGCUCGAUAUGUUGCAAGAAUGACUUCCAGUGGGUGUUGAGGAAGGAAGAGAAUGUACAGGACAAGAUAAAAGCCGAGAGAGGUAGAGAAAGAAAGCAGCCGGAGGUGAGGAUGCGCAAGCCGUCUGUCAGCUUGGACCGGAAAAGAGUUUCAAGAAGGGAAAGAGACCAUAAAUCCAGGUCGACCGCUACACCGAAAUAUCACGAUUGCUGCAGCCACGAUUACAGGGCCUACUGUGAUUACGGUGACAGACUUUCAGCACCAAUGCACGACUACCGGAUCCCUUAUUUUUACCGUCCACCACCUCUUAUGCCAUGCGAUUACCCUUAUAGAUUUGUCACAAAGCCGACAAAUGAACUACAGGAGCAACUCAGGAGGUUUGAAAGCGACAAGGAGACACUGUCACUCCAGGUCGCUGUGCUUACAGACCAAGUGGAAGCACAAGCAGAAAAAAUUGCAGAUUUGGAAAGGACCAUUUCAGAGCAAAAGCGACAGAUCUCUGCUUCUGAAGACCUUUUACAAAGGGAAAUGUUGACAAGGUCAUCGCUUGAGACACAGAAGCUCGAACUUCUUGCAGUCGUCUCUGAAAUGAAGAGGCACGAGUCAGCGCUCGAGAAGGACAACAUCGAUCUGAGGGACAGACUAGCAGAAGAGAAGAGAAAAAACAAACCACCCUUGGCACCAAGGAACCACCUCUACCCUUCUACAUCCACCCCCACCAACUUUUCAGAGCCUAGGAUUUCACCCUCGCCAAGCCCACUGUCAACCCAUUCAAGAAAACUAGACUACUCUGAUUCAAGUCACAACACACCAACAUCACAAAAGGUGCUAAUAGGAGGCCAGUACAGGAGUCUUCCACGUGAACAUCAAGGUGAAUCCACUGCCCUGAGGCGGGCUGUUGUCUUCGGUAGGCCAACUGAUCAUCCUCGGUGCUCUUCAGUACCGAAUCUAGCUGAAACCGAAACGAUAGUUAUUGACCGUGAAAAAGACGGGGAACAAUAUACGAAAGAAUCGAGCCCAACUAUGCAGUCAGGGCAGCCAAAAGGCAUCAGGAAAAUUUUUGGGAAGAUGAAACGGAGUGGUUCGGGCAGUCUUGACGAUAUCCCUUCUGAGGAACAAUUUACGAGAGGAGGAGUGAGAUCGACAGCUGGCCCAAGGCUCUGUGGCAACACCCAAGGCGUCAAGAAUGAUAAGCCUUUCUCCGAGUGGACCACUGAUGAAAUCUGUGCUUGGUUCAAGGAGAUGGGGCUUGAAAAUUCACUUCAGGAUGCUAGAAGGUGGGUGAAGACUGGGCAAGUUUUGUUGUCAGCAACACCACAAGAAAUAGACAAAGAGCUUAAUAUAAAGAAUCCACUUCUUCGCAAGAAGCUUCAUCUAGCGCUAGAAGCCGAGAGGGGUGUGGCUAGUGACCCUUACCUAGAGUGCGCAGGGCGGCUUGAGCCCGGGUGGGUGCUCAGGUGGUUGGACGACAUCGGCCUACCUCAAUACAAAGCUAGUUUCUUGUCUGCACGCCUCGACGGCCGGGUGCUUCACAGGUUGAGCAUGGACGACAUCCAGGGUCUUCACAUCAACCUCUCUCUACACCUGGCGAGCGUGCGGACCGGGAUCCAGGUCUUGAGGAAGGAGAAGUUCGAUCCACACUGCCUAAUCCGGCGGUCCGACCCGGAAAACGAGACAGACGAGCGUGUAGAGCUAUGGACGAACCACAGAGUUAUGGAGUGGCUCCGGCUCGUCGAUCUGGCCGAAUACGCUCCCAAUCUUCGAGGUUCAGGUGUUCAUGGUGGUCUGAUGAUCCACGAGGACCGCUUCACGGACACAUUACUCGCCAGCCUGUUAUCGAUUCCGAGCGAGAAGACCUUACUCAGAAGACACCUUUCGACCCAUUUCAAACAACUCCUUGGCCCUGAGAACAUCCAGAAGAAACGCGAGGCCGAAGCAACUCUCGGUUACGUCCCACUAACUAUAAAUCUAAAAAUCAAAGUAGCGAAAAAAUCUCAGUUCACUCUUAAACGUAAAAAGAGCAAAUACGAUGUUGACGAGGGUGAGCUUGUAUGUCCGCUUAAUGACAGCAGGGGAUGUCAAAGCACAACAGCAAUGCCUAGAAUUAAACCGAGGACCAACACAUCGCAAAUUGGAGAAUUGGAUGCCCCAAUGAUUAAUUGGUUGAAUAGAAACCAUAUUUAAAAGUCACCAAAUCACGUGGUUGCCUCUCCUGAUAAAACUUCACUCUCAUCGCAGAGCUCCGGGGGAAAAA
rnacentral:misc_RNA from 1 species